ACUGCAUAUUUUUCUUGUUUACAUCCAUGCUAACUGCGCUAUUGACGACACAAUUUUUAUUAAAGCGUCACUAUACCCGAAUACUAUCAUUAUUGGUGAUUUCAACCAUAACAUUUUAAAACGCAACCAUAUUAACAACUUUCUGUCUCAAUCAGGAUUCCAAAGAAUUCAUACGUCGCCCACAUUUAUUAUGGAACGUAAUUGUACGACUCCAGAUUUAUUUCUAUGCUCACCUAAGAUGUUCCCUCUCAUAUAUGAUGUUGAAACGAGUUGUGACCUUGGUUCCGACCACCUAGGGAUUGAUUUGGGAAUAUAUUCCCAAUCGAACGUUUCAGUUAACCCCACCAUCAAAUAUAAUUUCAACGCUUGCGACAUGAAAGAAGUAAUAUUUCCGAUACCAUUCAUACCACGGACGAAGACAUAGCCCUGAUACAGGAGGCGGAGCACUGGUAUGAUGACUAUCGUCAAAGUUCAUUUGAAACUACCGAAGAUAUACGUAUAAGCGAAGAAGAAUAAUGGCAAGUGAUAGCAUAAAGUAAAAUCUCGGCACCGGGAUAUGACAACAUUUCUAAAAAAAUGAUUAUACAGUUAGAUGAAAAGGUGCACGAUUACAUUAUUGAUAUAAAGAGAACAAAAUUUUUCUUUGCUAUAUUUCGAAACUAAUUGUUUCUUCUACAGGCAAAAACUGUGAACAAAUGUAUCAAAAUUAACACUUAAACUAUCAAUGGCUUACAUAAAAAGGAAGAAACUUACAGGUUAGUUGAUAAACGGCACAAUUGCAGAACAUUUCAAUGGUCCACCAAGAAACAUAGCAUCAUUAAAACCCACAAAAGGGUGAUUCAAAUUAAUAAAUUAAAAUUAGGACACUUAAAAUACAAACUAAAAUAACUGACGUUACAAAAGUAAAAAUCUUAUGAUGACUGAACAUGGCGAAGAAACCAGUUUUUAAAAAUAUUUUUAUUUUUAUUUUUAGAGACUGCGCGAUAGACAAAAUCACAACAAUACUGUCGAAAAACAUAUUUUAUAUAUAUGUAUAUCUUUCUUUUUAUAUUUUUAUUUAAAAAAUUAAUGAAUUACUAACGUUGGUGUUGUCCCUCAAUACUCUUUCCCUUCUCCCCUUUUCCCAAUGAAAUAAAUACGAGUAAAAAAUACUUAAAUUAUUUGUAUCUCUUUUAAAAUUGACCGUAUUAUCAGUGAUAUUAAUGUGGUACAUUUCCAAAAAUAAUCUACCGUAAUAAUUAGGAUCACCAUUAACUAUCGACACAUUAUCAAAAUCAAAAGUAUGGUUAAAGUUUAUUCUAUGACUGGCCAAAGCACAGUGAGUUUUUUUCGUUUUAAAAUCACUCCUAUGUGAACUAAUCCUGUUUUUUAGCCAUUGACGGGUGACACCAAUGUAACAACCAUUACACUCAUUAUAAUUGACACGAUAGAUGAUAUUAGAUUUGUACAUCACGGGAUCUUUAUCUUUGAUGCUACUAUAACAAGAACCUAUCCACUAUUUUUCUAUCAGGUGGUAGAUGCGGUCCAAUUAUUUUUUUAAUUUUAUCAGACAUCUUUGGGAUUUUCAUAAUUUUACUAAAUUUAGAUUGUCUGGUAGGUGGUAUAUCAAAAAUACUGUUAACAGUUGGUUGAGAGAUGUUAUUGGAAGAAGAGAAAAGAAUCUUGUUAACUAAGUGCUUAGGAAAACUGUUGCCAAUAAAAAUCCUUUUUAGCUUUAA